rnacentral:lncRNA from 1 species
CCCUACACAUCAUUGCAUACCCAAAAAUCACCUUCAUUACACUUCCUUUACUUGUUUCAAUAAUCAACAAGGGCUUUAUACACUCAAAUAAUGUCAUAAUCAAUACAUUUUAGGAUAAUGAUAUUUUAACAAUUUUUUUUAACAACUUUUUGACAACUGAACAUGUGUCAUCAUUUUAUUGGUUUGUUUGAAUUUAUUUUAAAAGAAUAUUUGAAACGGAUCAAUCACAAACUGCCACGUAUGCAUUGUCAAAAAAUUGUGAAAAAAGAAUUGUUAAAGAAAGUUUUAGCUACAUUUUAAUCAAGAUCUUAAUAAUUAGUAUAUUGAUAAGCCUAAGGUUAACUAUUUUCCACUCAAUAAUAAUAGAAAAAAAAAAGCCAUGAAAAUGACAGGUGAUGACGUCAACUGAAGUGCUCAUGAAUUUUAAUUUCCAAAUUUUGAGGAACAAAUGGUAAUUUGCCAAUUAUUAUGCAGUCGUAAGCACCAUCUCACAUGUCCUUUUCUUUGUAACAAUGAGUAUAUAUCAUAUAAAAAUGGUAUUAAAAUAAAUAAAAGUAACAAGAACUCAUCAUAUAA